UACAGAGGGUGCGAGCGUUAAUCGGAAUUACUGGGCGUAAAGCGCGCGUAGGCGGCUUUGCAAGUCGGGUGUGAAAUCCCUCGGCCCAACCGAGGAACUGCGCCCGAGACUGCUUCUCUUGAGUCCCGGAGAGGAAGAUGGAAUUCCCGGUGUAGCGGUGAAAUGUGUAGAGAUCGGGAGGAACACCGGUGGCGAAGGCGGUCUUCUGGACGGUGACUGACGCUGAGGCGCGAAAGCGUGGGGAGCAAACGGG
rnacentral:rRNA from 1 species